rnacentral:tRNA from 2 species
GCGGAAGUAGUUCAGUGGUAGAACAUCACCUUGCCAUGGUGGGGGUCGCGGGUUCGAAUCCCGUCUUCCGC